rnacentral:rRNA from 1 species
UACGUAGGUGGCAAGCGUUACUCGGAAUCACUAGGCGUAAAGCGCAGGUAGGCGGUUCGGUAAGUCUGUUGUGAAAGCUCCCGGCUCAACUGGGAGAGGUCAACGGAAACUGCCGGGCUUGAGUGUGGUAGAGGUAGCUGGAAUUCCCGGUGUAGCGGUGAAAUGCGUAGAUAUCGGGAGGAAUACCUAUGGAGAAAGCAGGCUAAUGGACCAUCACUGACGCUGAUCUGAGAAAGCUAGGGGAGCAAACAGG